rnacentral:rRNA from 1 species
GACGAACGCUGUCGGCGUGCUUAACACAUGCAAGUCGAACGGAAAGGCCCUGCUUUUGUGGGGUGCUCGAGUGGCGAACGGGUGAGUAACACGUGAGUAACCUGCCCUUGACUUUGGGAUAACUUCAGGAAACUGGGGCUAAUACCGGAUAGGAGCUCCUGCUGCAUGGUGGGGGUUGGAAAGUUUCGGCGGUUGGGGAUGGACUCGCGGCUUAUCAGCUUGUUGGUGGGGUAGUGGCUUACCAAGGCUUUGACGGGUAGCCGGCCUGAGAGGGUGACCGGCCACAUUGGGACUGAGAUACGGCCCAGACUCCUACGGGAGGCAGCAGUGGGGAAUAUUGCACAAUGGGCGGAAGCCUGAUGCAGCAACGCCGCGUGCGGGAUGACGGCCUUCGGGUUGUAAACCGCUUUCGCCUGUGACGAAGCGUGAGUGACGGUAAUGGGUAAAGAAGCACCGGCUAACUACGUGCCAGCAGCCGCGGUGAUACGUAGGGUGCGAGCGUUGUCCGGAUUUAUUGGGCGUAAAGGGCUCGUAGGUGGUUGAUCGCGUCGGAAGUGUAAUCUUGGGGCUUAACCCUGAGCGUGCUUUCGAUACGGGUUGACUUGAGGAAGGUAGGGGAGAAUGGAAUUCCUGGUGGAGCGGUGGAAUGCGCAGAUAUCAGGAGGAACACCAGUGGCGAAGGCGGUUCUCUGGGCCUUUCCUGGCGCUGAGGAGCGAAAGCGUGGGGAGCGAACAGGCUUAGAUACCCUGGUAGUCCACGCUGUAAACGGUGGGUACUAGGUGUGGGGUCCAUUCCACGGGUUCCGUGCCGUAGCUAACGCUUUAAGUACCCCGCCUGGGGAGUACGGCCGCAAGGCUAAAACUCAAAGGAAUUGACGGGGCCCCGCACAAGCGGCGGAGCAUGCGGAUUAAUUCGAUGCAACGCGUAGAACCUUACCUGGGUUUGACAUGGAUCGGGAGUGCUCAGAGAUGGGUGUGCCUCUUUUGGGGUCGGUUCACAGGUGGUGCAUGGCUGUCGUCAGCUCGUGUCGUGAGAUGUUGGGUUAAGUCCCGCAACGAGCGCAACCCUUGUUCACUGUUGCCAGCACGUUAUGGUGGGGACUCAGUGGAGACCGCCGGGGUCAACUCGGAGGAAGGUGGGGAUGACGUCAAGUCAUCAUGCCCCUUAUGUCCAGGGCUUCACGCAUGCUACAAUGGCUGGUACAGAGAGUGGCGAGCCUGUGAGGGUGAGCGAAUCUCGGAAAGCCGGUCUCAGUUCGGAUUGGGGUCUGCAACUCGACCUCAUGAAGUCGGAGUCGCUAGUAAUCGCAGAUCAGCAACGCUGCGGUGAAUACGUUCCCGGG